AUCUUUCUAGUACUAAAGACAGUAUAAGUGACUUCCAAUCACAAGGUCUCGGUUUAAGUCCGAGGAAAGAUA
rnacentral:tRNA from 1 species